GACGAACGCUGGCGGCGUGCUUAACACAUGCAAGUCGAACGGAAAGGCCCUGCUUUUGUGUGGUGCUCGAGUGGCGAACGGGUGAGUAACACGUGAGUAACCUGCCCUUGACUUUGGGAUAACUUCAGGAAACUGGGGCUAAUACCGGAUAGGAGCUCCUGCUGCAUGGUGGGGGUUGGACAUUUUCGGCGGUUGGGGAUGGACUCGCGGCUUAUCAGCUUGUUGGUGGGGUAGUGGCUUACCAAGGCUUUGACGGGUAGCCGGCCUGAGAGGGUGACCGGCCACAUUGGGACUGAGAUACGGCCCAGACUCCUACGGGAGGCAGCAGUGGGGAAUAUUGCACAAUGGGCGGAAGCCUGAUGCAGCAACGCCGCGUGCGGGAUGACGGCCUUCGGGUUGUAAACCGCUUUCGCCUGUGACGAAGCGUGAGUGACGGUAAUGGGUAAAGAAGCACCGGCUAACUACGUG
rnacentral:rRNA from 1 species